GCUACAGGCUUAACACAUGCAAGUCGAGGGGCAGCAUGGUCUUAGCUUGCUAAGGCCGAUGGCGACCGGCGCACGGGUGAGUAACACGUAUCCAACCUGCCGUCUACUCUUGGACAGCCUUCUGAAAGGAAGAUUAAUACAAGAUGGCAUCAUGAGUCCGCAUGUUCACAUGAUUAAAGGUAUUCCGGUAGACGAUGGGGAUGCGUUCCAUUAGAUAGUAGGCGGGGUAACGGCCCACCUAGUCUUCGAUGGAUAGGGGUUCUGAGAGGAAGGUCCCCCACAUUGGAACUGAGACACGGUCCAAACUCCUACGGGAGGCAGCAGUGAGGAGUAUUGGUCAAUGGGCGAGAGCCUGAACCAGCCAAGUAGCGUGAAGGAUGACUGCCCUAUGGGUUGUAAACUUCUUUUAUAAAGGAAUAAAGUCGGGUAUGGAUACCCGUUUGCAUGUACUUUAUGAAUAAGGAUCGGCUAACUCCGUGCCAGCAGCCGCGGUAAUACGGAGGAUCCGAGCGUUAUCCGGAUUUAUUGGGUUUAAAGGGAGCGUAGAUGGAUGUUUAAGUCAGUUGUGAAAGUUUGCGGCUCAACCGUAAAAUUGCAGUUGAUACUGGAUAUCUUGAGUGCAGUUGAGGCAGGCGGAAUUCGUGGUGUAGCGGUGAAAUGCUUAGAUAUCACGAAGAACUCCGAUUGCGAAGGCAGCCUGCUAAGCUGCAACUGACAUUGAGGCUCGAAAGUGUGGGUAUCAAACAGGAUUAGAUACCCUGGUAGUCCACACGGUAAACGAUGAAUACUCGCUGUUUGCGAUAUACUGCAAGCGGCCAAGCGAAAGCGUUAAGUAUUCCACCUGGGGAGUACGCCGGCAACGGUGAAACUCAAAGGAAUUGACGGGGGCCCGCACAAGCGGAGGAACAUGUGGUUUAAUUCGAUGAUACGCGAGGAACCUUACCCGGGCUUAAAUUGCAGAUGAAUUACGGUGAAAGCCGUAAGCCGCAAGGCAUCUGUGAAGGUGCUGCAUGGUUGUCGUCAGCUCGUGCCGUGAGGUGUCGGCUUAAGUGCCAUAACGAGCGCAGCCCUUGUUGUCAGUUACUAACAGGUUCCGCUGAGGACUCUGACAAGACUGCCAUCGUAAGAUGUGAGGAAGGUGGGGAUGACGUCAAAUCAGCACGGCCCUUACGUCCGGGGCUACACACGUGUUACAAUGGGGGGUACAGAGGGCCGCUACCACGCGAGUGGAUGCCAAUCCCCAAAACCUCUCUCAGUUCGGACUGGAGUCUGCAACCCGACUCCACGAAGCUGGAUUCGCUAGUAAUCGCGCAUCAGCCACGGCGCGGUGAAUACGUUCCCGGGCCUUGUACACACCGCCCGUCAAGCCAUGGGAGCCGGGGGUACCUGAAGUGCGUAACCGCGAGGAGCGCCCUAGGGUAAAACUGGUGACUGGGGCUAAGUCAUAAC
rnacentral:rRNA from 1 species